rnacentral:lncRNA from 1 species
GGUAAGCAUAAAGCUUAGUAAGCUUACAUGUAAUUAAUAAGAAAUAAGAAUAUGCAUUUCCAUACACAUACAUAACAUAACUUGACUCAUCUCAUUAUCAAUAAUCAUUGUAGUCAUACCCUACCUCAUUCAAUUUACAUAAUAUUCAAUAGAACUCAAUAUCAUAAUUUCUUUAUUCUCCUCUUAUCAAAGUUUUAUCAUUUCAUAAUCUCAAUACUACGAGCUUGGCGUACAUAUCUGUAUCAUUUCAACAUGAUCAUACCUCG